ACUCCUACGGGAGGCAGCAGUGGGGAAUCUUGGGCAAUGGGGGAAACCCUGACCCAGCGACGCCGUGUGGGCGACGAAGGCCUUCGGGUCGUAAAGCCCUGUUGUUGGGGACGAAGGACGAAGGGUUAAUAGCCCCUAGUCUGACGGUACCCUUCGAGGAAGCCCCGGCUAACUACGUGCCAGCAGCCGCGGUAAUACGUAGGGGGCGAGCGUUGUCCGGAAUUAUUGGGCGUAAAGAGCGUGUAGGCGGUUCGGUAAGUCUGCCGUGAAAACCUGGGGCUCAACCCCGGGCGUGCGAUGGAUACUGCCGGGCUAGAGGGUGGUAGAGGCGAGUGGAAUUCCCGGUGUAGCGGUGAAAUGCGCAGAUAUCGGGAGGAACACCAGUAGCGAAGGCGGCUCGCUGGGCCACACCUGACGCUGAGACGCGAAAGCGUGGGGAGCGAACAGGAUUAGAUACCCUGGUAG
rnacentral:rRNA from 1 species